AGUGAACGCUGGCGGCGUGCUUAACACAUGCAAGUCGAACGAGAACGGAUUAUAGCUUGCUAUAAUUGCCAGCUAAGUGGCGCACGGGUGAGUAAUGUAUAGGUAAUAUGCCUCUUACUGAGGGAUAACAAUUGGAAACGAUUGCUAAUACCUUAUAUUCCUUUUUAUCAAAAGAUAAAAAGGGAAAGAUUUAUUGGUAAGAGAUUAGCCUGUAUUGUAUCAGUUAGUUGGUGGGGUAAUGGCCUACCAAGACAAUGACGCAUAACUGGUUUGAGAGGAUGAUCAGUCACACUGGAACUGAGACACGGUCCAGACUCCUACGGGAGGCAGCAGUGGGGAAUAUUGCACAAUGGACGAAAGUCUGAUGCAGCAACGCCGCGUGGAGGAUGACACAUUUCGGUGCGUAAACUCCUUUUAUAUAAGAAGAUAAUGACGGUAUUAUAUGAAUAAGCACCGGCUAACUCCGUGCCAGCCGCCGCAGUAA
rnacentral:rRNA from 1 species